GUUGUAAACUAUAAAUUCAGUUUCAUCUGCCGUUGUUCAAUUAUAGUUCAUGUUGCAUACUUGAUUGUGCACGAGAUGAUUCGGAGCAAUAUGAGGAAGUACUGGAGGAUGAGAGGAAAGCUUUGCUAGCACUGAAAGCUGAGGACAGAAAGGUUGAGAUAGAUAAGGACUUCCAGUCAAUGCAACAACUUUCUAUGAAGAGGGUUCUGAGAAGGACAAAAGGACAGAAAAUGUUGAUAGAGAUGAGCGUGUCAAGAAGUAUCUUAGCAUCAAUGAAUCCCUGAAGCUGGUUGAAGGUGAAAGGUACCCUGGUAGCGAUCUGGCAGCCGGCAGAGGCCGGUGGUGAUCGUGGAGGAUACAUGGUGACUAUACUUUCUGAGGACCAGUUAAGGUGUCGUCAAUUGAAGAUCAAUUACAGUUUACUACAUUAGGUGGGAAAUGAAGAUACUAUCAUCCGCAAACACCUUUUCAUAUUUUAUG